CGCGUAGGCGGCACCUUAAGUCAGAUGUGAAAACCCGAGGCUCAACUUCGGGCGUGCAUUUGAAACUGGGGAGCUUGAGUGCAGGAGAGGAAAGCGGAAUUCCUAGUGUAGCGGUGAAAUGCGUAGAUAUUAGGAGGAACACCAGUGGCGAAGGCGGCUUUCUGGACUGUAACUGACGCUGAGGCGCGAAAGCGUGGGGAGCAAACAGGAUUAGAUACCCUGGUAGUCCACGCUGUAGACGAUGGAUACUAGGUGUGGGAGGUAUCGACCCCUUCCGUGCCGCAGUAAACGCAAUAAGUAUCCCGCCUGGGGAGUACGGCCGCAAGGUUGAA
rnacentral:rRNA from 1 species